rnacentral:rRNA from 1 species
AGUGAACGCUGGCGGUAGGUCUAACACAUGCAAGUCGAACGGCAGCACAGUAAGAGCUUGCUCUUACGGGUGGCGAGUGGCGGACGGGUGAGGAAUACAUCGGAAUCUACUUUUUCGUGGGGGAUAACGUAGGGAACCUUACGCUAAUACCGCAUACGACCUACGGGUGAAAGCAGGGGAUCUUCGGACCUUGCGCGAUUGAAUGAGCCGAUGUCGGAUUAGCUAGUUGGCGGGGUAAAGGCCCACCAAGGCGACGAUCCGUAGCUGGUCUGAGAGGAUGAUCAGCCACACUGGAACUGAGACACGGUCCAGACUCCUACGGGAGGCAGCAGUGGGGAAUAUUGGACAAUGGGCGCAAGCCUGAUCCAGCCAUACCGCGUGGGUGAAGAAGGCCUUCGGGUUGUAAAGCCCUUUUGUUGGGAAAGAAAAGCAGCAGGUUAAUACCCCGCUGUUCUGACGGUACCCAAAGAAUAAGCACCGGCUAACUUCGUG